rnacentral:lncRNA from 1 species
UGGUGGAAGUUGUCAGACACGUUAAUCGCAUGAGAUGACAGCCAUGAAAGGGCCUUCUCCAGAUUGAAGAACAAGAUACAUUGUAUGCUACCACUUGAGUUAUAAUAUUUUCUUUCAUUGAAGAUGCUUGGAUCCUGAUAACCUGACUUCUGCAUUAACUUGUGACAUACGCUAGCAUGACCUCUUCUCUAGUUUUGUUAACACUUUUUUAUCCUGACUGUCAACCUCGACCUAGAUUCAACACUUUGAUCUUUUAUUUUAGCUUCUGCCUAUUUGGAAUUUUGAUAAUAAUAUAAUAAUUCUGGACACACAAACCAUUGAUGACUGUUCAAAUAUAUUGCUGGGUUUUCUCUAUAGGACAGUUGCUUCAAUAAUACGUGUUGGGACAACCCAUUUUGCUAUCCCGAUUUGCACUCGACGCACGAUAUCUCCGACUCGACAAUGGCACCCGACUAUGUAUCGCCGACCGAUGUCCGGCCGAAUGGUCUAAUCGGUCAAAAGAGUUGACAAUUUGCCACACCGACUACCUUAUCAGCAUUCGACACCAACAACCUAUCGCCGAUUGUCUACUCAAGCCGUGACCGACUAAGACAACCCGACAUUCAGUCCGUAGCGGCACCCUAUCGGCAUCCAGUCGGUAACGGCAUCCUGUUGGCAUGCCAUCGACGAUACCAUCGACGAUUCUGACAUAACAUUGGGAUCACCGACUACCUAUCGGUAUCACCGACCCCCAG